GAUCCCUUUAUUCUGCUCAAAGUGAGCAGAACGAGACAUCGCUCCAUUGCCCCGUUCCGAGACGUUUGGACAAAGCGAUGCUGAGAAAUUCGGAAAUAGGAGAGGAGUAGCCUCGGCUUCCCUCCGAGAUUUAGAGGCUAAGGAUGCAGUUGGUGGUCGCGAGCCUGCUGCGUCUCGAAAACCAAGUCGAUGACUAAGCAUGUAGAAAACUUAUUGGUUCCGCGUUUGGACGAGGGUUCAAACCCCUCCACCUCCACAA
rnacentral:tmRNA from 1 species